GUGUAAGACAGGGGAGCAUUAGGAUCAUGAGAAACCCAGUCCACAGUUUUCAGCAACAGGAGUGCAGAGGGAUUUUCCAGAGCAGAAUCAGAAAGCCUGCCCUGACCUUGGCAUUUCUAGUGAUAGCUGCCCUAGGCACCACUGGGUCAGACCUUGGCUGGGACUCAGAAGAGUGGGCAGCCUGGGUUCCCCCCACCAGCCACAGGGUAGUGGCCUAGCACUCAGAGAGGGGAUUGAAAACCCCUGAAGAGAGUCAUGGUACUGGACUUUAUUGGGCUCUGGUACACCAAAAGGGGACUUGAACUUAACUCAGCUGGAAAGCUGGGGUCAGUGAAAGGCAUAGAAAGGGUGAAAAUAUCAGCUUCAGAGAGGAUGCCCUGGGGGCAUGGCCUCAUACCAGGGCUGGGAUUGUGUAAAGACAGCGGGAGUAAUAAAAGACUGAGUCCAGGGAAGGCUACAGUUAAAGUCCGUGUUGAGGACACCCAAAAAGCCCUGUUGGACUCAUACCCCGGAAGGGGUCUGCUUGAGUUGUGUUUCACAUACGGACUGUGUGUGAUUCGGCCGGAGGGCUGAGUCACCAAAGCUGCCUGAGAAACCACCAACAGGGGUCGCUACAGACUGAGAGAGGUGCAGACACACACCUGGCCGGGAGGCGCUCGCAUGAGGCCAGGGAGCAUGUCUCACUAUUGACCUAACCAAAGACAAUGGACCAGAUCGUCAGUGACUUCAACCAAUGUACACCAGCAGAGGAUCAGUCCCUAGAGUGUUGUUUCCUAAUUCU